rnacentral:rRNA from 1 species
AUGAAUUAUGAGUUUAAUAGAUCCUCUUUAGCAGAAAGACGUAUAUUCCUUGCUCAUUAUUAGACAAUCACUUAUUCCCAAACCUCGUGUGGGACUAAUCAUUUUCAUUUACCAUCUCAUGGAAAACCCUUUUCGUUCCGCUUAGCCCUAUCGGGUAUUUUAGUGAUAGGUUCUGUAGGAACUGGACGAUCCUAUUUGGUCAAAUACCUAACGAAAAAUUACAAUUUUCCUUUCAUUAAGGUACGAGGGCUUCUUAUUCCACAAGAACGAAAGCACCUUUUCAUUCUUUCAUAUACUAGGGGUUUUUACUUGGAAAAGACAAUGUUCCAUACUAAAGGAUUCGGGUCCAUAACCACGAGUUCCAGUGCACUAGAUCUUGUAGCACUUAGCAACGAAGCCCUAUCCAUUAGUAUUCCACAUAAGAAAUCCAUUCUAGAAAAAAAUACAAUUAGAUUAGCUCUUCAUAGACAAACUUGGGGUUUGCGAGCCAAGGUAAGAUCGGCUCGGGAUCAUGUGACCCUUUUCUAUCAGAUAGGAGGGGCUCUUGUACAAAAUAGACUUACUAAGUAA